GACGAACCGUGCGAACGUUGUUCGGAAUCACUGGGCAUAAAGGGCGCGUAGGCGGCUUCUCAAGUCAGGGGUGAAAUCCGGCAGCUUAACUGUCGAAGUGCCCUUGAUACUGACGAGCUCGAGGGAGGUAAGGGUGUGUGGAACUUCCGGUGGAGCGGUGAAAUGCGUUGAUAUCGGAAGGAACGCCGGUGGCGAAAGCGACACACUGGAUCUCUUCUGACGCUGAGGCGCGAAAGCCAGGGGAGCAAACGGG
rnacentral:rRNA from 1 species